rnacentral:lncRNA from 1 species
GGAAUGUUACAACUGCUCAUCUACUUAUAUGUGUUUUGAACUUAGUUUUAGUACUUUGAUCAUUGCUUUGCCUUUUGGUUUUUUUUCACAUUUGAGCAUUUUUUUUUUCAUAAACUGCACUGCAGUUUCAAUUUUUUAUUAGAAACGGCAAUGCAGUUUCCUGUUCCAUAUUUCGAUUUUAGAAUAAUUUUUUUUCAAAUCUAUGAGAAUGCUACAACUGCUCAUCGACUUAAAUGUGUUUUGAACUUAGUUUUAGUACUUUGAUCAUGGCUUUGCCUUUUGGUUUCUUUGCAAAUUUGAACAGAUGUUUUGUCAUAAACUGCAUUGCAGUUUCCGUUGCAGUUUUUUAUCAUAAAUUGCAAGGCAGUUUCCUGUUCCAUUUCCAUUUGUUGCAUCCCGUUAUAAGAUUAUAUGAGAGAAGAGAUAUAUAACAAAUCUUUUCUCAGAUUAGGCUGACCACAUCCUUGUUGUAAUCAAC